CAUAUUCGAGGAUCUCCAUGCGCGGGAAUUCGAUAUAUAUACAUAAAUUUUCGAAUUUUGUGUAUCCACGGUGAAUCGAUUUAACUCGUAGCACUAAAAGGCAUGGCGUCCGGUACAGUAGUAGAAAAUAAACGUGUAGCAAAUUUAAACGUAUCUAAUAAUCAUGGCAGAAAAAUUCUAAACGUUUACAGAGUAUCGACAAGUGGAACGGACAAAACGAAAGUGACGUUUUGUACAGAUGUGGACAAGUCUGUAAUCGUACAUAACUUUGAAAAGAGGGGAUGGGUUCAAGUUGGUCCGGAAGAUGAUUGGAAUUUCUAUUGGGCAGUCACGCAAUCAUGCAGAAACAUAUUCAGCGUGGAAACUGGCUAUAGGAUGGAUGAUAAACAAAUAAUCAAUCAUUUUCCGAAUCAUUACGAAUUGACACGAAAAGAUCUUUUAGUAAAAAAUAUAAAACGUUAUCGGAAGGAAUUAGAACGCGAAGGAAAUCCUUUGGCGGAAAGAGGAGAUGGGAAAUAUAUUUAUCUUGAUUUCAUACCUGUUACGUUUGUUUUACCGGCAGAUUAUAAUAUGUUUGUGGAAGAAUACCGUAAAUCACCGCAAAGCACAUGGAUCAUGAAACCAUGUGGAAAAUCACAGGGUGCUGGUAUAUUUUUAAUUAACAAAUUAAGUAAAUUGAAAAAGUGGUCUCGAGAAGCAAAAAACCCAUUUAAUCCAAAUUUGACGAAAGAAUCAUACGUAAUAUCUAGAUACAUUGAUAAUCCGCUUCUAAUCGGUGGCAAAAAAUUUGAUCUUCGUUUGUAUGUUCUUAUUACAUCUUUUCGGCCACUGAAAGCAUAUCUAUUCAAAUUAGGAUUUUGCCGGUUUUGUACGGUUAAAUACGAUACUAGUAUCCAAGAAUUGGAUAAUAUGUACGUUCAUCUUACAAAUGUAUCUGUGCAAAAACAUGGUGAAGAAUAUAAUAGUAAGCAUGGUGGUAAAUUAAGCGUGCACAAUUUAAGAUUAUACUUGGAGAGCACGCGUGGUAAAACUGUUACAGAAAAACUAUUUGCAAACAUCACUUGGUGCAUUGUACAUUCUUUAAAAGCUGUCGUUCCAGUUAUCGCAAAUGAUCGACAUUGUUUCGAGUGUUACGGCUAUGACAUCAUUAUUGAUAAUGAUCUUAAACCGUGGCUUAUAGAGAAAAUGAAUCCUGUACAAGAAUUGAUAUCAAUAUUUUUUAUUGAGUUCGCCUUUGAUGAAAUAUAUAUUAAAAUACAUUUUUCUCAAGAUAUGAUCUUAUUGAACUCAUUACUACUGCAUUAUAUGUAAAUGCGUCUCCAUCACUGACGUCUACUACAGUGAACGAUCGAAUUUUAAAAUACAAAUUAAUCGAUAAUAUUAUCUCAAUAGUCGUCCCACCGGAUGGUGUCCCAGACGUUAGAUGGAACAAGUCUCCACCACCGGAAGCACUCGGAAAUUUUGAACUUCUCUUAGACGAAGAAUUAUGCACUCAAGAGGACAAAGAAUAUUCGUCAGCGAAAUAUCGAAGUUCUUCAAGCAAAUGGAAAUAAAUAUUCAGGUGUUCUCAAUUAACGAGAAGAAGAAUUAAUAAUAAACGUUAUUUUAUGCGUAUAUUAA
rnacentral:misc_RNA from 1 species